GUCCACGCCGUAAACUAUGGAUGCUAGCAGUCGGCGAGCUUGCUCGUCGGUGGCGCAGCUAACGCAUUAAGCAUCCCGCCUGGGGAGUACGGCCGCAAGGUUAAAACUCAAAGGAAUUGACGGGGGCCCGCACAAGCGGUGGAGCAUGUGGUUUAAUUCGACGCAACGCGAAGAACCUUACCAGCCCUUGACAUGUCCGGACGGUUUCCAGAGAUGGAUUCCUCCUAGCAAUAGGUCGGAACACAGGUGCUGCAUGGCUGUCGU
rnacentral:rRNA from 1 species